AUGAAAAAAGCUGGAAGGAAGGACACCGCAGACAGAAGUGAGAAAACCGCCUUAAAGACGGCGUCCUUUUCCCUUGAGAACCCCGUUCCUCCAAACGCGAACCUUAAAACUGUCUCUAGAGCUGUGCUGCCACCCAGUGUCCGCCGCGCCUUGGCCAAGGCCUCAACAGACCAUACCAAAACGACAUCUCAAAUGGAACGUGCCAUGGAAACCAUGAUGUUUACAUUUCACAAAUUUGCUGGGGAUAAAGGCUGCUUAACAAAGGAGGACCUGAGAGUACUCAUGGAAAAGGAGUUCCCUGGAUUUUUGGAAAAUCAAAAAGACCCUCUGGCCGUGGACAAAAUAAUGAAGGACCUGGACCAGUGCAGAGAUGGCAAAGUGGGCUUCCAUAGCUUCUUUUCCCUAAUUGCGGGCCUCACCAUUGCAUGCAAUGACUAUUUUGUAGUACACAUGAAGCAGAAGGGAAAGAAGUAGGCAGAAAUGAGGAAUUCCCCUGGCCCUGAUAAAAGUUGUCCCAAAGGGUCACUUAAGGAAUCUGCCCCACAGCUUCCCCCAUAUAAGGAUUUCAUGAGCAGAUCAGGACCCUUA